GGUAGGUUACGCCUGACAAAGGCCCGCGGGGCCAAGUAGACACUGAGCCCAAGCGGAGCAGGCCCGGGGAGAGCGCCCGCUCCGGACGCCUCCAGAGCUGCGUCCAGCGUAAAGUGGAAUUCCUCCCCCAGAAGCCGGACAGGGCUCGAUUCCAAGAGGACGAAGACCUGUCCCCCUCUUCACCUGAGACCCUCCAAAAGCACCUUCCAGGUGACAGGUGAUCUCCAACACACCCAGAGAAGAGACUGUUCCAAAUUUAGGGCCUCACAACUCUGCAAUUGCGCGAGUCGCUGCAUUUCCAAUGACCUGAUUGCAACACCUCCCGGAUCUGGAAUGUCCUACUUGGCUUCCUCCCUCACAAGAGGACAGCAGGAACACCUGCGGAUCUCUCUCUCCAGGGUCUCUCCGUGUGGCUACCUUGGGCUUCCUUGCAGCAUGCUGGUCUUUGGGUAGCUGGACUUCUUACUGGGUGGUUGGUUUCUGCAAGGCUCCUCGCUUCAGACGCCCCUGAACUUCACAUCUGCUACAUUCUUUUGGUCAACCAUGUAAGUCACCGAGGCCAGCCCGGGUUCAGGGCAGGGGUCAGAUCCCACUGCUCCGCGGGCACUGCAGCAGAGAAUCUGCAGCCUGCGUGAUGUUUUGUCAUAUACUGUAUUUCUGCGUCUAAGAUGCCAUUGCUUGUAAGACAUAUCCUGACUUUAUGGAUUAAAACAUGUGAAAAAAA